rnacentral:rRNA from 1 species
UACGGAGGGGGCUAGCGUUGUUCGGAGUUACUGGGCGUAAAGCGUGCGUAGGCGGUCUUGUAAGUUUGGUGUGAAAUCUCCCGGCUCAACUGGGAGGGUGCGCCGAAAACUGCAAGGCUGGAGUAUGGGAGAGGUAGGCGGAAUUCCUGGUGUAGCGGUGAAAUGCGUAGAUAUCAGGAGGAACACCUGUGGUGUAGACGGCUUACUGGACCAUGACUGACGCUGAGGCACGAAAGCGUGGGGAGCAAACAGG